rnacentral:rRNA from 1 species
GCAAGUCGAACGAGAAAGUACCUUCGGGUGCGAGUAAAGUGGCGGACGGGUGAGUAACGCGUGGGAAUCUGCCUAGUAGUGGGGGACAACAAUCGGAAACGGUUGCUAAUACCGCAUACGCCCUACGGGGGAAAGGCUUCGGCCGCUAUUAGAUGAGCCCGCGUAAGAUUAGCUUGUUGGUGGGGUAAUGGCCUACCAAGGCAACGAUCCGUAGCUGGUCUGAGAGGACGACC